CCAGACUCUCUCAGUAGGUUUUCCACUCCACGGCUCCAAGACCUCACUAAUAAACUUCAGCCGCCAUUUCUGACGAUCAGAGUCAGUACCAAAAAGCCAAAGGAUACCACUUUAGAUCUAGAAAGAAAUUAAAGGAUAGGAUAGGAUGGAAAUGGAGGAAUAGCUAGGGAAAGCUUUUGGAAAUCUGUGGGUUGGCAACAGCUGCUGCUGUCUGUUAAACUUCGGAGACAAUACUGGUAGCACAGAUUGGCUGUGUUACCAAGCCCACCGAGUCCAAUGGCCUUCCUGAGGUUUCUCCGAUUCCCUUCAUACCCUUUACAUAUGUGAACUGGUCGAAAGAUGGGACGAAGAGGGAAAGGCAGAUGGGUUUUUGCAAGAAAUUGUUGGUGUGGGUGUGUGGGAGAGGAUAUGCAUGAAAAAAGUAAAAAACCCUUUGCUUAGAAAGAAAAAAAGAAAGUCAAAAAAUUUUGAACGGUUGAAGAUUAUAUCCUUUCCCAAUCCACCCAUACCGAUGAUUUCUUGGGAUCCCUGCCUUUCCCAACCUUUGUUCUUUUAGAUCUCAGACUGCUCUGCAGAUAUGGUAAAAUCUUUCGGGUAUCUUAACAUCUGAUUAUUUAUAUUGAGAUUUAUGUUUGUGCUAGGUUUUGAUUUUCUGCUGAUUAUUUACAAAAAAAAAAAAAAAAUUUUUGAUUUUCUGCUGAUUUUCGGGUCAGGUAAACCAUUGGCUCUGAGUUUUGUCAUCUUAUCAUUUGCAGAUUAUACGCUAGUACGUUUUGCUUGGGGAACCGGUAAAUCAAAUGAUGCUUGAUUAGCUGUCAGAUUUUUUAUGUUAAAUAUUGAGUUUGUGAAUGAUUUUGAGUUAGGUAUAAUGUUUGGUUAAUUGAGUGAAAAAUUCGACCUCAAAGUUUUCCAAUUUACUUCAAUGGUGUUUUGUUGUCUCGCAAAACGCCUUCGACCUUCGAGUUUGGAUAGGCAGAAGGGAGAAAAUACUCUGUACCAAAUGUGAAGAUUAGCGGAGAGGAGAAAGAAUUUAUCAAAAAUCAUGUUGACAGAAAUUGUUUUCGAUUCUCACUCACCUAAGAUCAAUAGUAAGCUCCGGUUCUGAGAACUGAGUCCAGUCCAAUUGGCAUGAUAUCAUCAUGAAGGCCAAAAUUAUUUUGUUCUCCAGUUUCUCUUUGGUUCUUUUCUUUUUUUAGCUUGCCCCUUUUAGGGAAGCAAAGUGAUAUAUGUUGGGAGGUUUUCUGAGGUUGAAAAUACAAAUUAUUUAAGAUAAUAAUAAUACGAGAGUUCUAAAUCAAGAUAAGGAAAAGAGUUUCCUCUGAGCAUCGAUCUGACUUGCGGUUCUUACUCAGAAGCUAAAGCGAAGAUAUUCUUUUAUCUUUGCAAUUUGCAAUUGAUGCUCAAUCAGAGAAUCCAAUGCGGAGUGAGUAUUGGGAUUGGCUGGCUAAUGAAACCAGCGAAUAAAAACGCUGAAACAAAGCAAAACAAGUUCCGUGCACGCAAUUGCAGCAAGUAUGACUGCAAAUUGAUGAGACCGUGAUCUUAAUCCUUUUCACAUGUAUUUGACUUCACUCUCUUACAAAAAUCAGGGGUCUGUUAUUGGAUGGCCAUCUUGAAAGCCAACAGAAAAUCACUACAUUUUUUGGGGAAAGGCAAGCUGUAUUAAUAAGAGGGAAAAAAAAAUUACGAAGUAGAUGUUUGUUUCUAAUAAUAAUGUCUAAAACAACUGGAGGAUAGGAGAGGUAAGAAUUUCGUCAGUAGUAUAAAACAGGCGAAAAAGUAUAUAUAAUGUGGUGUUGGAUUUAAAAAGCUUGCCUCUGUCGAGAAGAGAGCUAUAUAUUAUCCAUUAAAAAAAAAAGGUAGCCAUAGUCAAGUUGAAUGUAUCUCCCAAGGUUCAAGAACAUCUCUGUACUUGACUUUGAACAACAGCAAAAGUGGAGUAGUAUGCUAACCUCCACUUGACAGCAUUCUUGAUUUGCUCAAAACCAAUCUGGUGGGCUUUUGAUUGUUAAAAGUAUUAAAAAUGUUAAGAGACCAAACUCUAAAAGUAAUAAAUUCAGUAAUUCACAGCCAAAAAAGAGUAUGGCUGUGACCCUGUUGAGACGUUAUGUUAUACCGCAGCUUCUUUGGAAAAUCAUUUGCAUCCCUUUUGACACUGAUGAGUUUGAAUGGAACUGUAUAAUUUCUUCACUGUUGUUGUUGAAUUGUAAGGAGAGGCCUUAUUUAUUUAGGAGCGUUCUUUUCAUCCAACUAGAAACAUCUAACAUGAGCAGCUCAAGAUUGUUGAGAUCCAAAACCAUACCCGUGAUCCAUACGAUGUCAAUGCGAUUAUUAUAUAUUUCUUAAUUUUCAUUUUUCUAAAAAUUUCUUCUCGGUGGGCGGCUAUUUUAGACUCCUUUGUUCUUUUAUUUGGUACCAGACUUCGUAGUAGGUUUUGGACCACCCUACUCCAGGACCGCACCAAACGAACCUCAGCCACCAUUUCUUUCUUACGAUCAGAAUCAGUACUAAAAAGCCAAGUAUGCCACCGUAGAUCUAGAAAGAACUGGAUAGGAUGGAAAUGGAGGAAAAGCUUUUGGGGGUCGGUGGAUUGGUAACUGCUACAGCUAUAUAUUAAACCUUGGAGGCAAUACUCAUAGCACAGAUUGGCUGUUACCAAAACCCCCCCGAGCCCAAUGGUCUCUUCCUGAGGUUUCUCCAGUUCCCUUCAUGCCCUUCACAAAUGUUCAAUGGUCGAAAGAUUGGACGAAGAGGGAAAGGCAGAUGGAUCUCUGCAAGAAAUCGCUGGCGUGGGGGCCUUGGAAAGGAUACGCUUGAAAAAAUCGUUUUCUUGAAAAGGUUGGAGAUGAUAUCCUUUCCCAGGCCUCCCAUGCCGGUGAUUUCUUGGGGUCCCUCCCUUUCCCAAACUUGUUCUUUUACAUCUCUGGUUGCUCUGCAUGUAUUCUGCAAUGAUUACAUGUUACUUGAGUUCUUCUUCAGGGACCAGUAAAUCAAAGGAUAUAUGCUUGAUUGGCUGUUAGAUGAUUUCAGUUCAUUCAUUGAGUUGGUGAAUAACUGGCUUCAAAGCUUCGAAAUUGUGUUUUUCAUUUUAGUUGUGUUAUUCGUCUGGCAAAAAAGUUAUUAGAGCUUUGAAUUUUCCCAAGGCAAAGAGUGAUAUGUAUUCCUCUAGUACCAGCUACUAAACGUGAGAUUUAUAGUUGAUGUAAAAGAAGAAAUCAUGUAAUAGAGUAAACAAAAAUUUCUUCCUAUUUGUAAUGAAAUCAACCAAAAACACUCUUCCACUGCA